AUGAACUCUGGUGCUGAACUUGGAAACAAACCUCAGUCAGACGCUUAUAGGCGACAGACAAUCAAGAAAUUCAAUACAACAUUUCAGGCCCAUGUUAAACUACCUGAACAAUAUCCUCUCCUGCUAGAAGCUGAACCUUUAGCGGCACCAUGUGACUGCUCUUAUCAUCCCCAAAGCCGAGCCUCCCAUGUUCUCCUCUUCCCCAAGCAUAUACCUGCAGAGACCGCAAAACAGAUGAUUGUGCCAAAGCAUAUUCAAGCUCGUGUUCGAGCAGUACAUAUAUGGAAAAUGGUUAGUUCCAACUAA
rnacentral:rRNA from 1 species